GAUGAACGCUGGCGGCGUGCUUAACGCAUGCAAGUCGAACGAGAAAUGUAGACGGAAACCUUCGGGCGGAAGCCUUCAUUUCGAGUGGCGGACGGGUGAGUAACGCGUGGGUAACCUGCCUCAUACAGGGGGAUAACAGUUGGAAACGACUGUUAAUACCGCAUAAGACCACAGCAUCGCAUGAUGCGGGGGUAAAAACUCCGGUGGUAUGAGAUGGACCCGCGUUCGAUUAGCCAGUUGGCGGGGUAACGGCCCACCAAAGCGACGAUCGAUAGCCGAUCUGAGAGGAUGACCGGCCACAUUGGGACUGAGACACGGCCCAAACUCCUACGGGAGGCAGCAGUGGGGAAUAUUGCACAAUGGGGGAAACCCUGAUGCAGCGACGCCGCGUGAGUGAAGAAGUACUUCGGUAUGUAAAGCUCUAUCAGCAGGGAAGAAAAUGACGGUACCUGAGUAAGAAGCCCCGGCUAACUACGUG
rnacentral:rRNA from 1 species